CCCUUAGAUGUUCUGGGCCGCACGCGCGCUACACUGAUGCAUUCAACGAGUUUCUUCCUGGUCCGAGAGGAAUGGGUAACCUUUUGAAAGUGCAUCGUGAUAGGGAUAGACUAUUGCAAUUAUUGGUCUUCAACGAGGAAUUCCUAGUAGACGUAGUUCAUCAGACUGCAUCGAUUACGUCCCUGCCCUUUGUACACACCGCCCGUCGCUCCUACCGAUUGAAUGCUCAGGUGAGCCAUUCGGACUUUCAUCAUGCUGGUUUCCAGUGUUGAUGAAGGAAAGUCUUGCGAACCUUAUCAUUUAGAGGAAGGAGAAGUCGUAACA
rnacentral:rRNA from 1 species